GAAUUUUGGACAAUGGGCGCAAGCCUGAUCCAGCCAUGCCGCGUGCAGGAUGACGGUCCUAUGGAUUGUACACUGCUUUUGUACGAGAAGAAACACUCCUACGUGUCGGAGCUUGACGGUAUCGUAAGACUAAGGAUCGGCUAACUCCGUGCCCGCAGCCGCGGUAAUACGGAGGAUCCAAGCGUUAUCCGGAAGCAUUGGGUUUAAAGGGUCCGUAGGCGGUUUGGUAAGUCAGUGGUGAAAGCCCAUCGCUCAACGGUGGAACGGCCAUUGAUACUGCCAGACUUGAAUUAUUAGGAAGUAACUAGAAUAUGUAGUGUAGCGGUGAAAUGCUUAGAGAUUACAUGGAAUACCAAUUGCGAAGGCAGGUUACUACUAAUGGAUUGACGCUGAUGGACGAAAGCGUGGGUAGCGAACAGG
rnacentral:rRNA from 1 species